GCUGGGCAUGGUGGCUCACGCCUGUAAUCCUAGCACUUCAGGAGGCUGAGGUGGGAGGAUCACUUGAGCCCAGGAGUUGGAGGCCAGCCUGGGCAACAUAGUGAGACCCCAUUUCUA
ensembl:misc_RNA Metazoa_SRP Metazoan signal recognition particle RNA